AUGUCCUCCAUCAAGAUCUCGAAUGAAACUAUCCAUGGAAUCGUGCGCCGUGUGAAACGUAGAUCAUCGUCAUUCGAAGCCGCCGUGGGGUUAGGAGUAAAGCAUCCCGAGGUUGGCACCUCUCGUUGGGCGUGGAGAAGCAUUGGGAACCCCAAUAUGUUUCUUUGGAGCAAUUUCUUUUCCCGUCCCCUCCCCCCGGCAUAG
rnacentral:rRNA from 1 species